UGGCGCCGUCUGUGGGGACGAAAAAGAACUCUCUUCGCAUAUCAUUCAUCCAAGUAUUCGAUGUACGCUCAUCAAGCCCCGACAAUCAGAUCCGUCUACUUGUGGGGAGGCCACCUGUCAAGGUUCAAUGAACCAGGUGACGUAUAACCUGUCCACGGAUUGCCCCGGAGAUCAGAGUUCCAGGGAAUCUAACUGUAGCUCGAUCGGAUAUCUCUGCUCAGAGUUAUCGCCGUUUUUCUGAAGUCGAUGCUGUCUGUUUCUUCACAGAUCUGUAUGAAUAGACCAGUCUGCCUCGGGACCGAUUUCCCGUCA